rnacentral:rRNA from 1 species
GAUGAACGCUGGCGGCGUGCUUAACACAUGCAAGUCGAACGAUGAAGCCCAGCUUGCUGGGUGGAUUAGUGGCGAACGGGUGAGUAACACGUGAGUAACCUGCCCUUAACUCUGGGAUAAGCCUGGGAAACUGGGUCUAAUACCGGAUAGGAGCGCCUACCGCAUGGUGGGUGUUGGAAAGAUUUAUCGGUUUUGGAUGGACUCGCGGCCUAUCAGCUUGUUGGUGAGGUAAUGGCUCACCAAGGCGACGACGGGUAGCCGGCCUGAGAGGGUGACCGGCCACACUGGGACUGAGACACGACCCAGACUCCUACGGGAGGCAGCAGUGGGGAAUAUUGCACAAUGGGCGAAAGCCUGAUGCAGCGACGCCGCGUGAGGGAUGACGGCCUUCGGGUUGUAAACCUCUUUCAGUAGGGAAGAAGCGAAAGUGACGGUACCUGCAGAAGAAGCACCGGCUAACUACGUG